rfam:Brassica rapa chromosome A1, whole genome shotgun sequence.
GACCGCGUAUCGCAGUGGAUUAGCGCGUCUGACUUCGGAUCAGAAGGUCGUGGGUUCGACUGCCUCUGCGUUUU